rnacentral:rRNA from 1 species
UGAAGCGGCAAAAGCUCAAAUUUGAAAUCUGGUACCUUUGGUGCCCGAGUUGUAAUUUGGAGAGUACCACUUUGGGACUGUACUUUGCCUAUGUUCCUUGGAACAGGACGUCAUGGAGGGUGAGAAUCCCGUGUGGCGAGGGUGUCAGUUCUUUGUAAAGGGUGCUCGAAGAGUCGAGUUGUUUGGGAAUGCAGCUCUAAGUGGGUGGUAAAUUCCAUCUAAAGCUAAAUACAGGCGAGAGACCGAUAGCGAACAAGUACAGUGAUGGAAAGAUGAAAAGAACUUUGAAAAGAGAGUGAAAAAGUACGUGAAAUUGUUGAAAGGGAAGGGCAUUUGAUCAGACAUGGUGUUUUGCGCCCCUUGCCUCUCGUGGGCUUGGGACUCUCGCAGCUCACUGGGCCAGCAUCGGUUUUGGCGGCCGGAAAAAACCUAGGGAAUGUGGCUCUGCGCCUCGGUGUAGAGUGUUAUAGCCCUGGGGAAUACGGCCAGCCGGGACCGAGGACUGCGAUACUUGUUAUCUAGGAUGCUGGCAUAAUGGUUAUAUGCCGCCCGUCUUGA